rnacentral:rRNA from 1 species
UUAAGCGACUAAGCGUACACGGUGGAUGCCCUGGCAGUCAGAGGCGAUGAAGGACGUGCUAAUCUGCGAAAAGCGUCGGUAAGGUGAUAUGAACCGUUAUAACCGGCGAUGUCCGAAUGGGGAAACCCAGUGCAAUUCGUUGCACUAUCGUUAACUGAAUACAUAGGUUAACGAGGCGAACCGGGGGAACUGAAACAUCUAAGUACCCCGAGGAAAAGAAAUCAACCGAGAUUCCCCCAGUAGCGGCGAGCGAACGGGGAGCAGCCCAGAGUCUGAAUCAGCUUGUGUGUUAGUGGAACGGUCUGGAAAGUCCGACGGUACAGGGUGAUAGUCCCGUACACCAAAAUGCACUGUGAACUCGAAGAGUAGGGCGGGACACGUGGUAUCCUGUCUGAAUAUGGGGGACCAUCCUCCAAGGCUAAAUACUCCUGACUGACCGAUAGUGAACCAGUACCGUGAGGGAAAGGCGAAAAGAACCCCGGCGAGGGGAGUGAAAAGAACCUGAAACCGUGUACGUACAAGCAGUGGGAGCACCUUCGGGUGUGACUGCGUACCUUUGUAUAAUGGGUCAGCGACUUAUAUUCUGUAGCAAGGUUAACCGUAUAGGGGAGCCGCAGGAAACCGAGUCUUAACUGGGCGUUAAGUUGCAGGGUAUAGACCCGAAACCCGGUGAUCUAGCCAUGGGCAGGUUGAAGGUUGGGUAACACUAACUGGAGGACCGAACCGACUAAUGUUGAAAAAUUAGCGGAUGACUUGUGGCUGGGGGUGAAAGGCCAAUCAAACCGGGAGAUAGCUGGUUCUCCCCGAAAGCUAUUUAGGUAGCGCCUCGUGAACUCAUCUUCGGGGGUAGAGCACUGUUUCGGCUAGGGGGUCAUCCCGACUUACCAACCCGAUGCAAACUACGAAUACCGAAGAAUGUUAUCACGGGAGACACACGGCGGGUGCUAACGUCCGUCGUGAAGAGGGAAACAACCCAGACCGCCAGCUAAGGUCCCAAAGUCAUGGUUAAGUGGGAAACGAUGUGGGAAGGCACAGACAGCCAGGAUGUUGGCUUAGAAGCAGCCAUCAUUUAAAGAAAGCGUAAUAGCUCACUGGUCGAGUCGGCCUGCGCGGAAGAUGUAACGGGGCUAAACCAUGCACCGAAGCUGCGGCAGCGACACUAUGUGUUGUUGGGUAGGGGAGCGUUCUGUAAGCCUGCGAAGGUGUGCUGUGAGGCAUGCUGGAGGUAUCAGAAGUGCGAAUGCUGACAUAAGUAACGAUAAAGCGGGUGAAAAGCCCGCUCGCCGGAAGACCAAGGGUUCCUGUCCAACGUUAAUCGGGGCAGGGUGAGUCGACCCCUAAGGCGAGGCCGAAAGGCGUAGUCGAUGGGAAACAGGUUAAUAUUCCUGUACUUGGUGUUACUGCGAAGGGGGGACGGAGAAGGCUAUGUUAGCCGGGCGACGGUUGUCCCGGUUUAAGCAUGUAGGCUGGUUGUCCAGGCAAAUCCGGAUAAUCAAGGCUGAGGUGUGAUGACGAGGCACUACGGUGCUGAAGUAACAAAUGCCCUGCUUCCAGGAAAAGCCUCUAAGCAUCAGGUAACAUCAAAUCGUACCCCAAACCGACACAGGUGGUCAGGUAGAGAAUACCAAGGCGCUUGAGAGAACUCGGGUGAAGGAACUAGGCAAAAUGGUGCCGUAACUUCGGGAGAAGGCACGCUGGUGUGUAGGUGAAGCCCCUGCGGGUGGAGCUGAGACCAGUCGAAGAUACCAGCUGGCUGCAACUGUUUAUUAAAAACACAGCACUGUGCAAACACGAAAGUGGACGUAUACGGUGUGACGCCUGCCCGGUGCCGGAAGGUUAAUUGAUGGGGUUAUCCGUAAGGAGAAGCUCUUGAUCGAAGCCCCGGUAAACGGCGGCCGUAACUAUAACGGUCCUAAGGUAGCGAAAUUCCUUGUCGGGUAAGUUCCGACCUGCACGAAUGGCGUAAUGAUGGCCAGGCUGUCUCCACCCGAGACUCAGUGAAAUUGAACUCGCUGUGAAGAUGCAGUGUACCCGCGGCAAGACGGAAAGACCCCGUGAACCUUUACUAUAGCUUGACACUGAACAUUGAGCCUUGAUGUGUAGGAUAGGUGGGAGGCUUUGAAGCGUGGACGCCAGUCUGCGUGGAGCCAACCUUGAAAUACCACCCUUUAAUGUUUGAUGUUCUAACGUUGGCCCCUUACCGGGGUUGCGGACAGUGUCUGGUGGGUAGUUUGACUGGGGCGGUCUCCUCCCAAAGCGUAACGGAGGAGCACGAAGGUUAGCUAAUCCCUGGUCGGACAUCAGGAGGUUAGUGCAAUGGCAUAAGCUAGCUUGACUGCGAGCGUGACGGCGCGAGCAGGUGCGAAAGCAGGUCAUAGUGAUCCGGUGGUUCUGAAUGGAAGGGCCAUCGCUCAACGGAUACUCCGGGGAUAACAGGCUGAUACCGCCCAAGAGUUCAUAUCGACGGCGGUGUUUGGCACCUCGAUGUCGGCUCAUCACAUCCGGGGCUGAAGUAGGUCCCAAGGGUAUGGCUGUUCGCCAUUUAAAGUGGUACGCGAGCUGGGUUUAGAACGUCGUGAGACAGUUCGGUCCCUAUCUGCCGUGGGCGCUGGAGAAUUGAGUACUGGACCGGACGACUGGUGUUCGGGUUGUCAUGCCAAUGGCACUGCCCGGUAGCUAAAUGCGGAAGAGAUAAGUGCUGAAAGCAUCUAAGCACGAAACUUGCCCGAGAUGAGUUCUCCUGAGACUUUAAGUCUCCUGAAGGAACGUUGAAGACGACGACGUUGAUAGGCCGGGUGUGUAAGCGCAGCGAUGCGUUGAGCUAACCGGUACUAAUGAACCGUGAGGCUUAACCU